CCUACGGGAGGCAGCAGUAGGGAAUCUUCGUCAAUGGGCGCAAGCCUGAACGAGCAAUGCCGCGUGAACGAGGAAGGUCUUCGGAUCGUAAAGUUCUGUUGAAGGGGAAAAAGAGCGGAGAGAGGAAAUGGUCUCCGAUUGAUAUUACCCUUCGAGGAAGUCACGGCUAACUACGUGCCAGCAGCCGCGGUAAUACGUAGGUGGCGAGCGUUAUCCGGAAUGAUUGGGCGUAAAGGGUGCGUAGGCGGCCUGCUAAGUCUGGAGUGAAAGGUACCGGCUCAACCGGUAUAGGCUCUGGAAACUGGCGGGCUAGAGAGCAGGAGAGGGCGGUGGAACUCCAUGUGGAGCGGUAAAAUGCGUAGAUAGAUGGAAGAACACCAGUGGCGAAGGCGGCCGCCUGGCCUGUUACUGACGCUGAGGCACGAAAGCGUGGGGAGCAAAUAGGAUUAGAUACCCGGGUAGUC
rnacentral:rRNA from 1 species